rnacentral:misc_RNA from 1 species
AAAUCGCCUAGCCAACUGAAGACUCUCAAAAAUCCCUCUUAACUCAAUAUUCAAUCCUGCACACGUGCCCGAAGAACCUGCAAACCACCCACAACAAUUUCCAGCGCUGUCCCUUCUGAUUAAACCACCUCAUAAGGCUAUCCUCUUGUCUCUCCUCACACUUCCAUCAACAUUCACUUUGAAGUAAGAGUAAGGAGGGACAGUCCAACUAACCAACGCCACUGUACCCUGAUUCAAAGAAACUGCAAAUGUUAAUAUCGCAGAGAACGUUCUCGUGGAUUCCUGAGCUCUGGAAAGAAGGGAGAACAACAAAGUUAGAUCGAGUACAGACUGGUAGCG